GACAGAGGGUGCAAACGUUGUUCGGAAUUACUGGGCGUAAAGCGCGUGUAGGCGGCACUGCAGGUCGGAUGUGAAAUCCCGCGGCUCAACCGUGGAAGUGCACCCGAAACCGCAGAGCUAGAGUAUCGGAGAGGAAGGUGGAAUGCUUGGUGUAGAGGUGAAAUUCGUAGAUAUCAAGCGGAACACCGGUGGCGAAGGCGGCCUUCUGGACGAUUACUGACGCUGAGACGCGAAAGCGUGGGUAGCAAACAGGAUUAGAUACCCCGGUAGUCC
rnacentral:rRNA from 1 species